CCACACGUCUGUUCGGCGACGUUCAAGCCUUCCUGAUCGUAGAGCAACAGAUCACGCGGGCUCUCACGGCCCACUUCGCAACAGCAGACACAGCGAUGCUUGCAUCAGUAGAUCCACGUUCGUGAUCACUUUCGCCGGGCUCGGCUUGCUACUGAUCGCAUGUGCCAUCGUCAUCAUCUUCAAACUGCUGGAGAGGCACAGGGACUCGGAGUAUUUGAUUACCUUUCCACCGCAAGAAGCUUACAGCAAAUGCUAAUGUCAUCUUUACUGACUGAAAAUGUUUAAUUACGGACGAAUUACUGUCGUUAAGGGAAGGCGACGUACUUGUAUGUGCGUGCACACGCGCGCUUUCAUGUACGCUCACGCGCGCGCGCGUGUAAGAACGCGUACCUUCUAUAUUUGACAUACACUAACUCACAUCGAUUCCUGUAUGUAACAGUUAGAAUAUUGUAUAAAGAAUACACAGAUAAAUGUAGGUGUACGCGUCUAACUACACAGCCAACAUGCAGUGUAAUCAAAUGAAACAACCGUUUCCAACAAAAUAUAUAAAAGUAUAGAUGGGUUGGCUUUGUAUACAUCAAACCAUGGAUAUUAUAUUUUUAUAAGAUAGUUUCCGCUCAAGAAAGCCCGUGCUUUUAACUAAUUAAUUAAUAUCUAUAGGUAUGGUUUAUAAUUAGGCUUUGCAGCAAUACUGUAGCUAUACUACCUAUCUGUACUCUUUAUACUUAUACUUAGUAUCAUUCCCCUGUUUAUUUACCUAUAGAUGCAACUCCUGCAAAACCCUAUUGUACCUGUGAACACGUUUAAUGAGUAUUAAUUACCUAUGUAAUUAGCUAUCUGACUUAGGGGACCAUUGUUCUAACACGAUCAUGUCAUACCAGUAUGACAGAAGAACAGAUUACUCUUACAAUUGUUUUUUUAUUGUUGAGAGAUUUUAUAAUGAUGUUUUUUUUUACAUUUGUUGUCAUAUUUUGUUAUUAAUUUGCUGAUUGGUUGAUUAUUUAUGUUGUAAUCAGUAAACAGGACUAUUUCGUGGCCUCUAUUGUUACACACGCAUGCACGCAUGUGUCUAUGGGUGUGCGUGUGCGCGUGUGCGUGUGUGCGUGUGUGCGUGUGUGCGUGUGUGCGUGUGCGUGUGUGUGUGCGUGUGCGUGUGCGUGCGUGCGUGCGUGCGCUGUGAAAACUAUAAUUUUUGAUAAUAUGCAGAAUGUGUUCCUAAGCAUACUACUAAAAUAACUCGUAAUCAUUUAGUAUGUAUAAGACAGAAAGAAUCAUCAAAGUAAAAAGUUGUAUUCCCAUA